UUUUAAUCCCUUUUUUCAUUUAGACAACUGUAAGCUGUUCCCCUUCAACUUGAUCCUCGCCAGAAAGGAUAUUUUCUUCUUCAAACAAUUUUAUCACCUAAAACAGUCAGCAAUUUGGUUAAGGAACUUUAACUUACCAACUUAGAAACAAUAUCUGGCUUAGCAUCAGAAGUAAUUAAAUCCACAUAACCUCUAUUCAAAAGAGUUAGAGGCUUUUUCUCACGUAUAGGUCGAGAUGAGUCUGAAAUUGAAAAUGCGUAUUUUAUAUAUCUCUUAAGAUAUAUCAAAUUGCACAAGUUGAUACCUGCAAGGAUUUUAAAACGUUCAUGAUCUAGUUUUUUCAUCCACCCAGUAAUAGUAGGGCCUAUCGUCGCGAGCACCGAAUCAACUGUUGAAAUGAUCAUUAACGGUUCCUCUAUUGACACGUAUGGAAUUCCUGCCAGACAUACACAGCAAAAGCUUACAAAUGAAACUUUUUCUUCUGUAAAGCUGGGUAAAUCAAUCCCGUCGAGUUUAAGAGGUUUUAAUAUUUGCAUUAUUAAUUUUUUCCUAGAUUUUGAACUUUUAUCAGCGGAGACAAUGGUAUAGGCACUUUGGAACGGCGAAAAUUCGCCUAACUUAAAUGUUUGAUAUUCCUCCGUUUUUUGAAGGGAAAAUAUUAAAUCUGCAGAUUGAGCAUAUAAGCCAUCUAUCAAAGAUUCAUGUCUUCGGUGCAAUUCAGUGUGAAGCAAAAUUGCUACUUCUCUGGUUUCUUUAAUUGCAUUGGAUUCGAGUGCUAUUAUGGUUGAGAAACACUAAUUUAAUUAGUAAUCAAAAAGUAAAAAGUGGCAUACCAUGCGUGGGUUUACUAGUCCUUGAUGAAUAAUACAUUUGAGAAUUUCAAUUCCGAGCAUUGAAUACCUUAAAUUUUUUGAAAAGCAAGAGUCAAGAAUACAGGGAAGGAAAUGCUGCAUUAAAGAUGCACUGACUCUGCAUUAAAUUAGUGAUAGUUUGUUUAUAAAAUACAUACCCUUCAAUCCAUUGUUUAUCCUUAGUUCCUUUAAGCAUAUCUCGAUCAACUGAUUUGUUGGACUGAACGUUUUGCUUACCCUUUAAACUUAGCUUUUGAUCUGCUUCAAAGAUAAGAUCCUCAUCCGCGGCCAAAAGCUCAAGAAAAGAUUUAAACAAAACAGAUACUUCGUUAACAUUAUUUUCCGCAAUUAUCAUAUCCAAAGUUGAUAACAUAAGAGGAGAUAUAAACAAAGAUGUUUCUCUUAAACAUAUUCUGCUCAUGUUAUCAAUUAUGUGAAUUCUCAGCUGACCUUUCGCAUCUUUUAGAAGUUUCUGAAAAUAACCUAAUAGUAUAACGUAAGCAUCAUCACACUCAGGACUAAUAAAAUCAAGUGAAUGUUUCCAAUCAU